AAAUCAUGAAUAUUUGUUAACUGGUCUAAAACCAGAGCAACAAAAAAAGUUUUCAAGUAUGUGUCUGGUUACCACGAAUAAGGGAUUUUCUUUGUAAAAGGGAAGAGACUUCCAGUAUAUUUGUAAUUUAAGAUAGCACUUUAUAGGAGCAGCAAAUGAUAGACAGGGGAAAGAGAUUUCUUUGUUUUUAAUGAAAAGAAAAUGACCUUCCUUUACCUUUCAAAUAAUUCAUCCUUAUAUUUUAACAUCCUAUUUUUCAUCAAGUAUUUACUGUACAUGCGGAGGUAAUAUGACAGUAUUUUUGAUGUUAUAGAAUUUUGGUUAUUUGGGUUAAUUAUUAUCCUUGCUCUCAAGGAAAUUAAUAAGUUUAUGGAACAAAAUGUGUACAGUGUUUGUACAAAAUAGCUCAUCUUCUGUUUGCACUGCUUUAGACAAUACUUAAAGUCAAAAAGUCAAUAAAGAAUAAUUAUGUUAACUACUG
rnacentral:lncRNA from 1 species